AAGUCGUAACAAGGUAACCGUAGGUGAACCUGCGGUUGGAUCAUUAACAAAUGAUUUGGUUUUAAACCAAAACACAUUGUGCAAUUAUAUCUGUCUCUGGUGGUUGGUUCUAUGGUCUCUUGUUGUUUGAAAAUCCACAAGAGAUCACAAUCACCAAAUGAACAAACAUUUUGAUUUUUUUUUUUUAUGUCUGAAUCAUUCACUAUUUGUGCAAUGAAAAAACAACUUUUGACAACGGAUCUCUUGGCUCUC
rnacentral:misc_RNA from 1 species